GUUUAAUGAGCUCAGUUGGUAGAGCAUGAGGCUCUUAAUCUCUGGGUCAUGGGUUCGAACCCCACAUUGAGCA